UGUAUGUUCUCCUGACAUCUGUAUGAUGGUCCUCUGGCUUCCUCUCACCUCCCAAAAACAUCCAGAUUUUUGUUAAAAACGUUAUCAACACUUUGUCCACCAGAACAGUGUACUUGGUGGUGUGAGGUUAGCUUCAAUUUCUAUCUGACGGGUAAUCAAUAAAAUCUUAAUCAAGAUAUCAGGAGGGUUGAGGUAAGUUGUGACGUCACAUCCUCUCUCAGCUCUAUAAGAAGAGAGGGUAUAGAAGACAGAUAUACAGCACUUGACCUACUGAAUUCUGAGAACUGAGCAAUCAUCAGCACCAUGAAGAUCUUCUUGCUGUUUGUUCUCACGAUCUUGGUGGUUACUGCAGCAUCUCAUGUACUGUCUUCAUCAGGCAAUUGUAAACUUCGGCAUGUGCUUUUAGCAGAAAUCAUAGAACAUGUGAAUGGCGUAAAAGUAAAGGAGUUAAAGGAGAGUUCUCAGAUUCUUGUUGAAAAUGUGAUAACUCCCAAACACUGUACUCAUGAAAACCUCUGCAAAGCAGGGGCAGUUCUGUCAGCAUAUAAAGCAGAAGAGCUCGGAUUAAAGGAAAAAGACUGGCUGCUGCCCAGGCAACUGGUAGCCUACACCAGGGUGAGUGACUG